GUCUCUGUGGUCUAGUGGUUAAGGCACCGGCGUUAAAAGCUGGGGGCCCGGGUUCGAUUCCCGGCAGACUGAGACA